AACAAUCAUUUUUCUGUUCUGGUCGAGAUGGGUACUUUGUACUACAACCAUGUCUUUUCUUGCUCCAAUUUCUUUGAAACUUUUCCUGCUUAUUUAGCACCCUACCAAACCCUUAGGCUCCAAAGAUGAGAUACUUUGGAAGAUUUUUAGCCCAUGUUUUUAUAUCCCCAAGUUUUUGUCCAGAAAAGAUUUUCCCCAAAAGUUGUACUAACUAUUUUCUUACCUUCUCAAACUAACCCUACCACCAUAGUCAACACCUAAGGAGUCUCUGAUCUGGUAAUUUUGGUGGCCAAAGGAGUAUCUUAGGUGCACUCGACCUGUUGUCGAACACCUUGAAUUCAUGUACUCUUUUGGCAUGGAUUUUUAUCUACAUUGUAGAGUUGAUCAACUAGCCCAACCAGAAUGUCUAGGAUAUUUAUCUUGACCAGCAACCCCACUCUGGUGAUUUUGGUAAGCAUCUAAACUCUGUAGCCACGCCGGGCAUUUCAUCGAACAGGU
rnacentral:lncRNA from 1 species